AAGUCGUAACAAGGUCUCCGUAGGUGAACCUGCGGAGGGAUCAUUAGCGAAGAGGCGGGGGCCGCUCCGGCGGCGCCGCCGUCUAUCCAUCCGUGCAUGUCGACCGUGUUGCCUUGGGGGCGUCCGUGUCUCCCGACGCGGGCCCCGGGGGUGAUCUGAAACCGAUUUGAGAAGCGUCGUCGGAGUGUAGGCUUGAAUUGAACAAA
rnacentral:misc_RNA from 1 species